ensembl:snoRNA Gm25133 predicted gene, 25133
CUAGCACUUUUCACAGGUCCUUCCUUUGUCAGUGGGGUCAGGAUUUGGUAGCUGGUGCUGAGAUGAAACCCUUGAUUACAUCCUUGCCCUGAUACUGUGCCAGUGGCAGCUGUUACUCAAGGGAACAGUG